AUAAGUGCCAGCCCAUAGUAGGUGCUCAGCAAACAGUCACUGAAUAAUUGAAUGGAGCCUCCACAGGCCUUUGGAAUGAAGUGCUUGCCCACUGGCCAGUGCCACUAGAUAAGCGUCUUUUAUUAGUGAUCAGAGGUGCAGUGUGUGUGUGUGGAGAGAGAGAGUGAGAGAGAGAUCUAAGGUACAGGGAUCUAAGAGAUCUCCCUCUUUCUAGAUAACUCCACCCAGUUCCACUCUCUUUUGAGGGUCUGGGUGAGAAAGGGAGGCAGCCGGACACCCUGGUUUGUCGAGUUUGGACAAGUUAGCGUCAAUAUCCUAAUGUCUAAAAUGGUGAU